CAUGCAAGUCGAGCGGAGUUGUUCCUUCGGGAACAGCUUAGCGGCGGACGGGUGAGUAACACGUAGGCAACCUGCCUGUAAGACCGGGAUAACUCACGGAAACGUGAGCUAAUACCGGAUAAUCGGUUCCUUCGCCUGGAGGGAUUGUGAAAGAUGCUUCGGCAUCGCUUGCGGAUGGGCCUGCGGCGCAUUAGCUAGUUGGCGGGGUAACGGCCCACCAAGGCGACGAUGCGUAGCCGACCUGAGAGGGUGAUCGGCCACACUGGGACUGAGACACGGCCCAGACUCCUACGGGAGGCAGCAGUAGGGAAUCUUCGGCAAUGGACGAAAGUCUGACCGAGCAACGCCGCGUGAGUGAGGAAGGCCUUCGGGUCGUAAAGCUCUGUUGCCAGGGAAGAAUGGCCGGGAGAGGAAAUGCUCUCGGUUUGACGGUACCUGAGAAGAAAGCCCCGGCUAACUCUGUGCCAGCAGCCGCGGUAAUACAGAGGUCCCAAGCGUUGUUCGGAUUCACUGGGCGUAAAGGGUGCGUAGGUGGCCUGAAAAGUUUGAUGUGAAAGCUCAGGGCUCAACCCUGAAAUGGCAUUGAAUACUGUCGGGCUGGAGGUUUGGAGGGGGGACUGGAAUUCUCGGUGUAGCAGUGAAAUGCGUAGAUAUCGAGAGGAACACCAGUGGCGAAGGCGAGUCCCUGGACAACACCUGACACUGA
rnacentral:rRNA from 1 species